rnacentral:rRNA from 1 species
GACGAACGCUGGCGGCGUGCUUAACACAUGCAAGUCGAACGGAAAGGCCCUGCUUUUGUGGGGUGCUCGAGUGGCGAACGGGUGAGUAACACGUGAGUAACCUGCCCUUGACUUUGGGAUAACUUCAGGAAACUGGGGCUAAUACCGGAUAGGAGCUCCUGCUGCAUGGUGGGGGUUGGAAAGUUUCGGCGGUUGGGGAUGGACUCGCGGCUUAUCAGCUUGUUGGUGGGGUAGUGGCUUACCAAGGCUUUGACGGGUAGCCGGCCUGAGAGGUUGACCGGCCACCUUGAGACUAAGAUAGGGCACGUACUCGUACGGGAGGCAGCAGUGGGGUAUAUAGCACAAUGGGCGAAAGCCUGAUGCAGCAACGCCGCGUACGGCAUGACGGCCUUCGAGUUAUAAACCGCUUUCGCCUGUGACGAAGCGUGAGUGACGGUAAUGGGUAAGGAAGCACCGGCUAACUACGUG